GGGAGAGGAACUCAAAAGGCAAAAUCCGCUGCAUGCGUCCCGAAAUCGUUGCGGAAGGCCGUUCCGCUCACCCGACAGCCUAGGGUCACUCGCGAGACAGAGAGUGCCUGAUUCCUUGUUUCUCGAGAUACUUCGAAAUGUGUCAGUUCGCUUUUGUCAAUUAUAGCGGAGGCCUCCCUCCGAAUGGCAAGGGUAUCCUCGACGGUCUCCAGCAGUCAAGAGUUCCAGCAUGUCCCCUUUGAGUCAGGCAGCGAGGUAGGUUCAACGUUAUAACGCUCUGCAACCGAAGCGAAAAGGAAGCGUGAAAUCGCUCUGGUUAAGCUAGAGGGAUACCUGCAACUGCUUAGAGGUGGGUAAGGAGAGAUUUGGUACGUUCCAAACAUCUGUAGACAUCAGGAAAUAGAGGGGUUUUUACCCCUUUAGAAGGGGGCGUCGCGUUCCUCGGCGAGCGGGGAGCUCGAGUCUGUGUCCUCCGUUUCAGUGCUGGCGCUUACUCCUCUGCGACGAUCUUCCCCAUUCAGAAGUCCCGGGAACUUUUCCUCACGAGGGGAGCCUGAACUUGAACGUUUUCUUCUGCGUGGUCAGCGGUGACACCGGCAGUGGCAAGGUUUGUGAACUUACAAAAUGCCUGAAGCCACACCGCGUUUGCCUGUGGCGUCUUUCCACGCGUCUGAGUGAAAGGGGCCGUCAGAAAAACGCACAGACGCUUUUCAUGGCCAUGCUGAGUGCGUUUUAAGUAUAGUGGAGUGCACCGUAAAAAUACUUGGAGCACCAGCAUUUGUAUACAAGCGGUACGAGUAUCAUGAUAUCCAGUGUGGUAGUCUCCUCAUGAAAGAAAGUG
rnacentral:lncRNA from 1 species